rnacentral:rRNA from 1 species
GUAGAUAUUGGGAAGAACACCAGUGGCGAAGGCGCUCUACUGGGCCGUAACUGACGCUGAGGGACGAAAGCUAGGGGAGCGAAAGGGAUUAGAUACCCCUGUAGUCCUAGCUGUAAACGAUGGAUACUAGGUGUUGGAUGUAUCGACCCAUUCAGUACCGUAGCCAACGCGAUAAGUAUCCCGCCUGGGGAGUACGCACGCAAGUGUGAAACUCAAAGGAAUUGACGGGGGCCCGCACAAGCGGUGGAGUAUGUGGUUUAAUUCGAUGCAACGCGAAGAACCUUACCAGGGCUUGACAUCCCGCGAACCUUGAUGAAAGUUGAGGGUGCCUUCGGGAGCGCGGAGACAGGUGGUGCAUGGCUGUCGUCAGCUCGUGUCGUGAGAUGUUGGGUUAAGUCCCGCAACGAGCGCAACCCACGUCCUUAGUUGCCAUCAUUGAGUUGGGCACUCUGGGGAGACUGCCGGGGACAACUCGGAGGAAGGUGUGGAUGACGUCAAGUCAUCAUGCCCCUUACGUUCUGGGCUACACACGUACUACAAUGCUUCGGACAAAGGGCAGCGAACCUGCGAGGGUGAGCUAAUCUCAUAAACCGAGGCACAGUUCAGAUUGCAGGCUGCAACUCGCCUGCAUGAAGGAGGAAUCGCUAGUAAUCGCCGGUCAGCAUACGGCGGUGAAUACGUUCCCGGGCCUUGCACACACCGCCCGUC